GCCAAGGUGAGCAACAGGAGUGGAAAAACUCUCACCCGUGACACUCCACCAACUUGCUGGCUUCUUCUCGGUCAUCACCGGAGCAGAGGCCUGAUUUACUGCGAAUGCUGUCAAUUAAAGAGAAGGAUAAGACAUUUUACAAGGUACAUUUUCCGUUGCUAAUAUAAAAUUGCCCGGUUUGGCAUGGUUAUAGUGUGUGGGUUGUUUCCAAUAUUUUUGAAACCGCUCUUUAUAGAUUUCAGGAUUGUGCAGGUGUACCUAACAUCAAGUCCAGGCUGCGUUCAUAUUAGUGGGAUAUGACAGAAAACCCCUGCCAUAUCGCGCGGUUCAUCGUUCACGUCCUCAUCAUGUGACAGAUUUUGUUAUGGGUUUUAGUACACGGACAAGUUUAAAUUUAGAGUCGCACUCUUUCAAUGCGGUACCAUGUUGUGCCGCGACUUGUUGGGCAGCACUGAGGUCGACACGGAGCGCAAUUAACGGCAAAAAGAAGAGGAUAGCCAUGCCCAUUCAGUGUAAUAGAGCACCACAUUUUUCUGCUUCAGUAUUCGUUGUUCCCAUAGAGCAAAGAGAAUAUAUGCCUGUUUGUAUGUGUUGAUGCUCUGUGUGUUAAAGUAACAGUUGCUUGAAGGUUUUAGAAAUUUCUAUCAGCCCGUCCAUGGCGUUACACUGUUAGCAUUAAGCUAGCCGAUUUUCAUUUGACAAAAUUGUAUGGUUUGGUUGAACAUCCAUCCAUCCAUCCAUUUUCUGAGCCGCUUCUCCUCACGAGGGUCGCGGGCGUGCUGGAGCCUAUCCCGGCUAGCAUCGGGCAGGAGGCGGGAUUCACCCUGAACUGGUUGCCAGUCAAACGCAGGGCACAUACAAACAAACAACCAUUCUCACUCACAUUCACACCUACGGGCAAUUUAGAGUUGUCAAUUAACAAACCAUGCAUGUUUUUGGGAUGUGGGAGGAAACCGGAGUGCCCGGAGAAAACCCACGCAGGCACGGGGAGAACAUGCAAACUCCAUACAGGCGGGGCCGGGGAUUGCACCCCGGACCUCAGACCUGUGAGGCAGACGCUCUAACCAGUCGGUCACCGUACCGCUGUGUUUAAAUAUACAAUGUUUAAUUAUUUUAUUUUAUGUUUGUUUUACUGUUAACACAUGGGAGUAACAAAUAAACACCUUGAAGCAAGCACA